rnacentral:tRNA from 1 species
UGGAGUGUGACUCAGUGGUGGAGCGCUUGCCUCGCAUGUGUGAGGCACUGGGUUCAAUCCUCAGCACCUCAU